AAAAGACUUCCGCUCAUGCGCAGUGUCGCGUCUUCGAUCGUCCGGCUUGCUUCGGCGGGGAUACUGCUGCAGUCCUAAGCCGAGAUGGCGUGGAAGCUCCCCAAAAACACUGGAACGUCGGCCGGAGUUUGAGACACAAAAGGCGGACGCCUAACGGAAUAGGAAGUGAUCAAAUAAUAAUAAUUAAAAUUUUAUUUAAAAAAAAAAAAAAAAAGAGGGAAAGAAAAGAAAACAUACUUUGAACUGAACAUCAUGAAGCUGCUGAAGCCGAGCUGGGUGAGCCACAACGGCAAACCUAUUUUUUCGGUUGACAUUCACCCAGAUGGAACCAAAUUUGCAACUGGUGGCCAAGGUGAGGAUUCAGGGAAGGUGAUGAUCUGGAACAUGGCACCUGUCCUCCGUGAGGAAGAUGAGAAGAAUGAGAACGUUCCCAAAAUGCUUUGCCAGAUGGACAAUCAUCUAGCAUGCGUGAAUUGCGUGCGCUGGUCUAACAACGGGCUGUACCUGGCGUCCGGGGGGGAUGACAAGCUGGUGAUGGUGUGGAAACGAGCUGCGUUCAUUGGUCCGAGCACAGUGUUUGGCUCCAGCAGUAAACUGGCCAAUGUGGAGCAGUGGAGAUGUGUCACCAUCCUGAGGAAUCACACUGGAGAUGUAAUGGACGUGGCCUGGUCUCCUCAUGAUGUGUGGCUGGCGUCCUGCAGCGUGGACAACACCAUUGUCGUCUGGAACGCCCGCAAAUUUCCUGAGAUGGUUACGUGUCUUCGGGGCCACACAGGCCUGGUGAAGGGCCUAACGUGGGACCCGGUGGGCAAGUACAUCGCCUCCCAGGCCGAUGAUCACAGUCUGAAGGUUUGGAGGACAGUGGACUGGCAGAUGGAGGCCAACAUCACAAAGCCUUUUAGUGAGUGUGGUGGCACCACUCAUGUCCUGCGUCUGUCGUGGUCCCCGGACGGCCAGUAUCUGGUAUCGGCACAUGCUAUGAACAAUUCAGGACCCACGGCACAGAUCGUGGAGAGGGACGGCUGGAAGACCAACAUGGACUUUGUGGGACACAGAAAAGCCGUCACGGUGGUGAAAUUUAACCCAAAGAUCUUCAAGAAAAAGCAGAAAAAUGGCAGCUCUCCCAAGCCUAGUUGUCCAUAUUGCUGCUGCGCCGUGGGCAGUAAGGACCGUUCACUCUCCGUCUGGCUUACCUCCCUGAAGCGGCCCCUGGUGGUCAUCCAUGAUUUGUUUGACAAAUCCAUCAUGGACAUUUCAUGGACUCUCACAGGCUUAGGCAUGUUGGUGUGUUCCAUGGACGGUACCAUAGCUUACCUGGAUUUCUCACUCGACGAGCUAGGAGAUCCACUCAGCGAAGAUGAAAAGAACACUAUUCACCAGAACAUCUAUGGCAAGAGCCUGGCCAUCACCAGCACACAGGAGACACAGCUGGCUACCACCAUCAUUGAGAACCCGGAGAUGCUAAAAUACCAGCAGGAGAGGCAGAGCUCAGCCCAGAACAACUCUGGAGCAGCUGGUGCCGACUCCUUGGCACCAAAGCUCAACAGCGUGAUGAACGGGGAGUCUCUGGAGGACAUCAGGAAGAACCUGCUGAAGAAGCAGGUGGAGACUCGUACCGCUGACGGCAGGAGACGGAUUACGCCGUUGUGCAUAGCUCAGCUGGACACCGGGGACUUCUCUCCAGCACUCUUCAACAGCGUACCCAUCCUUCCGUCCUCCUUGUCCAACCAGCUGCCCCCCCAGCUCAGCACUGACUCCAGCUCAGGUCAGGUGGUGGCAACAGUGGCAGCCCCCUCGCUGGGGGGGCAGCGGCCCAACCUCGAUCCUGUGCUCGCUCUGCCACCGCCCACCAACACAGCUCCCAAGGGUUUGGAGGACCCCAAAGACCAGGUUCUACCCUCCGGCGUCAAGGCCAGUAUGCUGCUGGCAUCAGCUUCUAAGAUGGAGCCCAUGAAGGCCUUGGACUCCAGGUUCACAGAGAGAUCCAAGACCACACCAGGCGUCCCCGCCGCCAUCUCCUCUACCACCGGCCUGCUGCCACUUGACAGGCCCAAAGAUGUUGUGGCGUCAGUCUUGAAAGAUGUAAAAGCUAAAGAGGACACCAGUAGUGACAGCGAGGACAAGAUGGCGGUCAUCAACAAGAACCUGAGCCUGUGCAAGCGCAAACCUGAGCCCCUGAUGUUGGACGCCGCCGAAGUGGUGGAGAAGCGCAAGAAGGGGCGGCCGCGUAAGGACAAGAUGGCACCACCAAUACUGAGUCAGUCCUUCGCACAGUCCCUCCAAGUAUUAUCUCCCCCCGAACGGGAGCCGAUGAGAGCGGCUUCUGUGGUGGCGGCAGCACCGACUCCGACACCGGCGGCCGUCCUCAGGUUGCCAACGCCCAGCUUCCAGAAGACCUUCAGCAUGCAGGUGAGCACAGACCCAGCAGUCUUCCUGGAGGUGGAGAACGAAGUGACGUCGGCAGCCGGUUCCAGGCUCAGUCAGCUGCGAUGUUCGCGAGAUGGCCGAGAGUGGAAUACGCUGCUGCCCAGCUCCGUAGUUGCCGCCGCAGGCAGCGGCGACGUCGUAGCCGUGGCGUGCCAGGAUAGAAUGCUGUCAGUGUUCUCGUCCUGCGGCCGCCGCCUUCUGCCGUCCAUCCAGUUGAACUCACCCGUGUCGACCCUUGACUGCUCAGCGCGAUUUGUGAUGACACUAACAGCCGGGGCAACGCUGUCUGUGUGGGACGUACACAAGCAGAGGGCUCUGGUCAAGAACGAGUCCUUGGCUGCUAUUUUGUCUGGUUCAGAGGUGACCGUGUCUCAGUCUCUGCUGACUGAACAGGGCGUCCCAGUCGUCGGCCUUUCCAAUGGCAAGUCCUUCUGCUUCAGCUCUUCCCUGGAGACGUGGACACUAAUCGCAGAUCGAGGAGAUUGUCUGGUCCAGUGUGCCGACUUCAGGAGCUGCCUCUCUACCCAGGAUGCACCUGGAUCCUCAGGGCCUUUGGCCACCAUGCAGGGACGCAACCUCAACGGCGGCCGCCUUGCAUCCCGCUUAUCCGCCGCACCGCACCACCUGCAACAGAGCAUGACGAUGGCCUUCCUCGAGAACCAACUGGCGGCGGCCCUUACGCUUCAGUCGACGCCCGAGUAUCGCUACUGGCUGCUCAUCUACACGCGCUUCCUCGUCAACGAAGGCUCCGAGUUUCGGCUGCGAGAACUUUGUAAGGAGCUUCUGGGUCCAGCUCACAAGUCUACCACCACAGCCUGGGAGGCCACCACACUGGGUUUGCGCAAGCGGGAGUUGUUGCGGGAAGUCCUGCCGGUCAUCGGAGAAAAUCUGCGUUUUCAAAGACUGUUUACGGAAUACCAGGACCAGCUAGAGCAGCUGCGUGGCAAAUAACACACACACACAAACGGCGUUUGGACUUUCUGGACGGAGAAAAGCGUAACCCACCGACUAGGCACCUCGCUAACAGGAGAUAUCAAAGCUUGUCGUCUUGUCAAAUCGGCGCCUCAGUUGAACUUUCUUCUCGUACCUUCCUCCUCAUAAUCUAUGCAGCAACCAUAAAUGUGAGCGUGACAUGCUUGAACCAAAGCAAUGCUUUCAAGUGGGGGGGGGGAAGAGAAGUCCACAUUCCUGCCAAUCAUGAGCUUUCAUAGAACUGAGAUUUGGUUUUGUUUUCUGUCAACCAACUGAACGUCAGUCUUUUUAAACAAGUCAUGGAUCACCCAACAACACAAUCACACCUUAUACCAUCUUCCCCUAAGGAACUAGUAUCCAUCACGUGAACAUGUCCAUACAAUGGAUCGUGUCAGUUUUACGAUCAUGUAAUAUUUCAUACCAUGUAAUUCCAAUCCCAUCCAAUAACUGCUGUAAGUAUGAGCAAGUGUGAAUGUGUCCCCAAUCAACGUUAACUCACCCUUACCUGUUUGUCUAUACCAAAGGAGAAAAAUGUCAUCAUGGAAGAUCCGAAGUGUUCCAUACUCUGUGUAAACGUGACCUUACAAGUUCCACCAGUCAUGCUCAAUGAAGGGACAAAUGCUAUAGAAAAUGCAAGACUGGAAAGGGAAAAAAAAUGAAAUGGCCUCCUGUUUUAGAGGAGCUGAAUCAUCCCAUCCUUGACUUUGUUUUUGUGUCAAAAUGAACAUGAAUUUACUUGUUUUGAUGGGUCAGUUGAAAAUAGAUCGGUGAGGACCCUCGCCGGUCUACUUGUGUAAAUAACACCAACAAGCAAUUUGACAAGACCUUUAUUUCUUGUUUGUUUUUGUGUGAUUUUCUGUGUGCUGGCUUUAUCUAUUGCUAUAGUUUGCUUUGUUGUAUAGUUUUAAGUGUGUGCCUCUGUUCGUUUGUUUGUUCCUUUGUUUUUGAGGGAGGUAACAAUGAGUGGGAGUCAUUUUUCAAUGGUUGUACAUUUUUUGGUUUUAUAUAUUUGGAACAAGCAAUGAGAACUAAAAUUUUGCUUAAAAGAGAAAGAAAAUUAAACAUUUCAUUUUGCUA